UAGGGAAUCUUCCACAAUGGGCGAAAGCCUGAUGGAGCAACGCCGCGUGUGUGAUGAAGGGUUUUCGGCUCGUAAAACACUGUUGUAAGAGAAGAAUGACAUUGAGAGUAACUGUUCAAUGUGUGGCGGUAUCUUACCAGAAAGGAACGGCUAAAUACGUACCAG
rnacentral:rRNA from 1 species